AGAGUUUGAUCCUGGCUCAGAACGAACGCUGGCGGCAUGCCUAACACAUGCAAGUCGAACGCGUGUAGCAAUACACGAGUGGCGAACGGGUGAGUAACGCGUGGGAACCUGCCUAGUGGUAGGGAAUAACUGCGGGAAACUGCAGCUAAUACCCUAUGAGCCCUCCGGGGGAAAGAUUCAUCGCCAUUAGAGGGGCCCGCGUCGGAUUAGCUAGUUGGUGGGGUAACGGCCCACCAAGGCGACGAUCCGUAGCUGGUCUGAGAGGAUGAUCAGCCACACUGGGACUGAGAUACGGCCCAGACUCCUACGGGAGGCAGCAGUGGGGAAUAUUGCACAAUGGGCGCAAGCCUGAUGCAGCCAUGCCGCGUGUAUGAAGAAGGCCUUCGGGUUGUAAAGUACUUUCAGCGGGGAUGAAGGGAGUAAAGUUAAUACCUUUGCUCAUUGACGUUACCCGCAGAAGAAGCACCGGCUAACUCCGUGCCAGCAGCCGCGGUAAU
rnacentral:rRNA from 1 species